AGAACGAACGCUGGCGGCAGGCCUAACACAUGCAAGUCGAACGCGUGUAGCAAUACACGAGUGGCGCACGGGUGAGUAACGCGUGGAUAUCUGCCUUUGGUUCGGAAUAACCCCGGGAAACUGGGGCUAAUACCGGAUGGUUCCUUCGGGAUAAAGAUUUAUCGCCAAAAGAUGAGUCCGCGUACGAUUAGCUAGUUGGUGAGGUAAUGGCUCACCAAGGCGACGAUCGUUAGCUGGUCUGAGAGGACGAUCAGCCACACUGGGACUGAGACACGGCCCAGACUCCUACGGGAGGCAGCAGUGGGGAAUAUUGGACAAUGGGGGCAACCCUGAUCCAGCCAUGCCGCGUGAGUGAUGAAGGCCUUCGGGUUGUAAAGCUCUUUUGGCGGGACGAUGAUGACGGUACCGCAGAAUAAGCCCCGGCUAACUUCGUGCCAGCAGCCGC
rnacentral:rRNA from 1 species